rnacentral:rRNA from 1 species
GGCACUCUAAGGGGACUGCCGGUGAUAAGCCGAGAGGAAGGUGGGGAUGACGUCAAGUCCUCAUGGCCCUUACGGGCUGGGCUACACACGUGCUACAAUGGUGGUGACAGUGGGCAGCGAGACAGCGAUGUCGAGCUUAUCUCCAAAAGCCAUCUCAGUUCGGAUUGCACUCUGCAACUCGAGUGCAUGAAGUGGAAUCGC